rnacentral:rRNA from 1 species
GGCCUCUUCGUGUAUAGCACUGUUAUGCGACGAAGAAGAUAGCCUAGGUGAUACAUCCGGGAGUAGUCGUACGUGACUCGCAGGAAUAAAGCACCCGGCUAACUCUGUGUCCCGCAGCCGCGGUAAUAACAGAGGGUGCGCAGCGUUUAAUUGGAUAUUAAUGGGCGUAAAGCGUGCGUCGGCGGCUUUUUAAGUACGAUGUGAAAUUCCUGAGGUUUAAACUAGGAAUUGCACUCCUAUACUGGGAAGCUAGAGUAUGGGAGAGAGAUGGGUAGAAUUUCAGGUGUAGCGCAGAAAAGCGUAGAGAUAUGGAGAGAAUACACGAUGGCGAAGGCAGCCAUCCGGCGUAAUACAGACGCUGAGGUACGAAAGCAUGGGGAGCAAACACGAGUAGAUACCCGGUGGUCCACGCGCCAAACGAUGUGUAAUAGCCGUUGUGGCUUUUGAGGCACUCGUGGAGCAGCUAACGCGAUAAGUAGACCGCCCGGGGAGUACGGUCCCAAGACUAAAAAUCAAAAGAAUUUACGGGGGCCCGCCCCAGCGGUGGAGCAUGUGGUUUAAUUCCAUGCAACGCCAAGAACCUUACCCCACCUUGACCUAGUCAGAAAUUUCCCGAGAUGGAUUGGUGCCUUGAAGAAGUACCAUCCCGCUGGUGCAGCGCGGUCGUCAGCUGGUGUCGUGAGAUGAUGGGUUAAGUCCUCCAACGAGGGCAACCACCUUCGCCAUUAGCCAGCGCGUUCAGCCGGGCACUUUAAGGAUACUGCCAGUGACAAACCGGAGGAAGGCGGGGAUGACGUCAAGUCAUCAUGGCCCUUAUGACCGGGGCUACACACGUGAUACAAUGGUUGGUACAAAGGGUUGCCACCCAGCGAGGGGGUGCUAAUCCCAAAAAGCCGAUCGUAGUCCGGAUUGGAGUCUGCAACUCGACUCCAUGAAGUCGGAAUCGCUAGUAAUCGCGGAUCAGAAUGCCGCGGUGAAUACGUUCCCGGGCCUUGUACACACCGCCCGUCACACCAUGGGAAGCUGUUGUCGCGCCAGAAGUAGGUAGUCUAACCGUAAGGAGGACGCU